UUUGGAAUCACCUGUGAUCUUGUGAAAAUGCAGAUUCUGGUUCAGAAGUUCUAGGCUGGGGCCUGAGAUCCUGCAUUUCUAACAAGCUCUCUGGUGAUUCUGAU
rnacentral:pre_miRNA from 1 species